ACACUGCUGUGGAGUCCCACAAUAGGACGAAACGGCCGUCCAGUGU
rnacentral:hammerhead_ribozyme from 1 species